CCUCUCGGCGAUGGAGAACUGGUGUUCUACAUCCUCACCGGUCUCGAUUUGGAAUAUAAUCUAGUCAUUUCUGCAGUGAUAGCCCGUGUGGAACCCAUCAUCAUCAUAGAGCUAUACGCACAGCUGUUGCUUUUGAGC
rnacentral:snoRNA from 1 species